rnacentral:rRNA from 1 species
GUAAUACUCCAUAGUUCGUUAUUACUGGAAUGUUUUUCGAACGAAAGAUCCGUCGCUUCAGGAUGAGUCUGCGGCCGAUUAGGUAGUUGUUGGGGUAAUUGCCCAACAAGCCUGUAAUCGGUACGGGUUGUGGGAGCAAGAGCCCGGAGAUGGAUUCUGAGACACGAAUCCAGGCCCUACGGGGCGCAGCAGGCGCGAAAACUUUACCAUGCGGGCAACCGUGAUAAGGAAACCCCGAGUGCCAGCACAGGCUGGCUGUCCGCCAGUUUAAACAACUGGCGAAGAAAGGGCCGGGCAAGACCGGUGCCAGCCGCCGCGGUAAUACCGGCGGCUCGAGUGGUGGCCGCUAUUACUGGGCUUAAAGGGUCCGUAGCUCGAUAAUAGGGUCCCUUGAGAAAUCCGCCGGCUUAACUGGCGGGCGUUCAGGGGAAACUUGUUUUCUAGGGACCGGGAGAGGUGAGGGGUACUGCCGGGGUAGGAGUGAAAUCCUGUAAUCCCGGUGGGACCACCUAUGGCGAAGGCAUCUCACCAGAACGGGUCCGACAGUGAGGGACGAAAGCUGGGGGAGCAAACCGGAUUAGAUACCCGGGUAGUCCCAGCUGUAACUAUGUGCGUUAGGUGU